UAACAAGGAUUCCCCUAGUAACUGCGAGUGAAGCGGGAAAAGCUCAAAUUUAAAAUCUGGCGGUCUUCGAUCGUCCGAGUUGUAGUCUGGAGAAGCGUCUUCCGCGCUGGACCGUGUACAAGUCUCUUGGAACAGAGCGUCGUAGAGGGUGAGAAUCCCGUCUUUGACACGGACUACCAGUGCUUUGUGAUGCGCUCUCAAAGAGUCGAGUUGUUUGGGAAUGCAGCUCAAAAUGGGUGGUAAAUUCCAUCUAAAGCUAAAUAUUGGCGAGAGACCGAUAGCGAACAAGUACCGUGAGGGAAAGAUGAAAAGCACUUUGGAAAGAGAGUUAAACAGUACGUGAAAUUGCUGAAAGGGAAACGAUUGAAGUCAGUCGCGUCGUCUAGAACUCAACCUUGCCUCGGCUCGGUGCAUUUUCUAGUUGACGGGCCAGCAUCAGUUUUGACCGUCGGAAAAAGGUCCUCGGAAUGUGGCACCUUCGGGUGUGUUAUAGCCUUGGGUCGUAUACGACGGUUGGGACUGAGGACCGCAGCACGCCUUUAUGGCCGGGGUUCGCCCACGUACGUGCUUAGGAUGCUGGCGU
rnacentral:rRNA from 1 species